rnacentral:tRNA from 1 species
GGGCGUGUGGCGUAGUGGUAUCGCGUUUGCUUCGCAUCAACAUUGGAAUUUCCAAUGGCGUCUGUAAAAGGUCACCGGUUCGAUCCCGGUCACGUCCA